GACCUCGUGGUGCAAUGGUAGCGCAUCUGACUCCAGAUCAGAAGGCCACGUCGGGGUCA
rnacentral:tRNA from 1 species